AACGAACGCUGGCGGCAUGCCUAAUACAUGCAAGUCGAACGAGAUCUUCGGAUCUAGUGGCGCACGGGUGCGUAACGCGUGGGAAUCUGCCCUUUGGUUCGGAAUAACUUCUGGAAACGGAAGCUAAUACCGGAUGAUGACGUAAGUCCAAAGAUUUAUCGCCAGAGGAUGAGCCCGCGUAGGAUUAGCUAGUUGGUGAGGUAAAGGCUCACCAAGGCUACGAUCCUUAGCUGGUCUGAGAGGAUGAUCAGCCACACUGGGACUGAGACACGGCCCAGACCCCUACGGGAGGCAGCAGUAGGGAAUAUUGGACAAUGGGCGCAAGCCUGAUCCAGCAAUGCCGCGUGAGCGAUGUAGGCCUUAGGGUUGUAAAGCUCUUUUACCCGGGAUGAUAAUGACAGGACCGGGAGAAUAAGCCCCGGCUAACUCCGUGCCAGCCGCCGCGGUAA
rnacentral:rRNA from 1 species